CCCCUCUCAGGGUCUCACCUGGAGACUUUCCAGUACUCUACCAGUCUCGACCAUGGGAGGGAGAGUCAAGCAGAGGCAUAUCCAUUCCAUUGUUAGCUUGGGCAGUGGCUAGCAAGUGGAAGGCAAUCUGCUACAAGU